rnacentral:sRNA from 1 species
UGAAGCCUCUGUCUCCAGGGAUCAAGCAAUCCUCCUGCCUCAGCCUCCCGAGUAGCUGGGAUUCCAGGCAUGUGCCACCAUGCGCAGCUAACUUUUUUCUAUAUUUUUUGCAGAUACAGGCUUCUGCCAUGUCGCCCAGGCUGGUCUCAGACUCCUGGACUCAAGCCAUCCACCUGCCUUGGCCUCCCAAAGUGUUGGGAUUACAGGCAUGAGCCACCACGCCUGGCCUAAAAACUUUUAUCUGUGAAUUUUCUAUUUCUUCCUCCCACUGGGUUUUCAUCUCUAGCCAGUCACUAUAUUUGACUUGCUGAUUUGUAUUUUCUUUUUAGGAUUUUACAGUUUUUGGAGGCAGUCUGUCAGGAGCACAUGCCCAAAAGAUCUGCAAAAUCAUGGACCAGGCCAUAACGGUGGGGGCUCCAGUGAUUGGGCUGAAUGACUCUGGGGGAGCACGGAUCCAAGAGGGAGUGGAGUCUUUGGCUGGCUAUGCAGACAUCUUUCUGAGGAAUGUUACGGCAUCCGGAGUCAUCCCUCAGAUUUCUCUGAUCAUGGGCCCAUGUGCUGGUGGGGCCGUCUACUCCCCAGCCCUAACAGACUUCACGUUCAUGGUAAAGGACACCUCCUACCUGUUCAUCACUGGCCCUGAUGUUGUGAAGUCUGUCACCAAUGAGGAUGUUACCCAGGAGGAGCUCGGUGGUGCCAAGACCCACACCACCAUGUCAGGUGUGGCCCACAGAGCUUUUGAAAAUGAUGUUGAUGCCUUGUGUAAUCUCCGGGAUUUCUUCAACUACCUGCCCCUGAGCAGUCAGGACCCGGCUCCCAUCCGUGAGUGCCAUGAUCCCAGUGACCGUCUGGUUCCUGAACUUGACACAAUUGUCCCUUUGGAAUCAACCAAAGCCUACAACAUGGUGGACAUCAUACACUCUGUUGUUGAUGAGCGUGAAUUUUUUGAGAUCAUGCCCAAUUAUGCCAAGAACAUCAUUGUUGGUUUUGCAAGAAUGAAUGGGAGGACUGUUGGAAUUGUUGGCAACCAACCUAAGGUGGCCUCAGGAUGCUUGGAUAUUAAUUCAUCUGUGAAAGGGGCUCGUUUUGUCAGAUUCUGUGAUGCAUUCAAUAUUCCACUCAUCACUUUUGUUGAUGUCCCUGGCUUUCUACCUGGUAAGUUUUUGACAGAGUGGGGGCUAGUAGAGUUGCCUUUCCCAGUAAGGUGCCCACUUUAUUUGGAGAUCUUCUUGCAGAACUCCCCGAGGACUUGUGACUUCUCCAUGUAUUCUGGGUGUCCAGAAGAUAGGGCUGUGUAAGGAAUGGCCCUCUCCAGAGGUGGGAAAGACCUCACAGCUGAGAGUGGCAGGAUAACCAUGUGAGGACUUGUGGGUAUCUAGUAACUCUUCCUCAUGUCUAGGCACAGCACAGGAAUACGGGGGCAUCAUCCGGCAUGGUGCCAAGCUUCUCUACGCAUUUGCUGAGGCAACUGUACCCAAAGUCACAGUCAUCACCAGGAAGGCCUAUGGAGGUGCCUAUGAUGUCAUGAGCUCUAAGCACCUUUGUGGUGAUACCAACUAUGCCUGGCCCACCGCAGAGAUUGCAGUCAUGGGAGCAAAGGGCGCUGUGGAGAUCAUCUUCAAAGGGCAUGAGAAUGUGGAAGCUGCUCAGGCAGAGUACAUCGAGAAGUUUGCCAACCCUUUCCCUGCAGCAGUGCGAGGGUUUGUGGAUGACAUCAUCCAACCUUCUUCCACACGUGCCCGAAUCUGCUGUGACCUGGAUGUCUUGGCCAGCAAGAAGGUACAACGUCCUUGGAGAAAACAUGCAAAUAUUCCAUUGUAAACAAAUCAAAGGAAAAGAAACCAAGAACUGAAUUACUGUCUGCCCAUUCACAUCCCAUUCCUGCCUUUUGCAAUCAUGAAACCUGGGAAUCCAAAUAGUUGGAUAACUUAGAAUAACUAAGUUUAUUAAAUUCUAGAAAGAUC